UACGAAGGGAGCUAGCGUUGUUCGGAAUCACUGGGCGUAAAGCGCACGUAGGCGGAUGUGUCAGUCAGGGGUGAAAUCCCGGAGCUCAACUUCGGAACUGCCUUUGAUACAGCACGUCUUGAGUCCGAUAGAGGUGGGUGGAAUUCCUAGUGUAGAGGUGAAAUUCGUAGAUAUUAGGAAGAACACCGGUGGCGAAGGCGGCCCACUGGAUCGGUACUGACGCUGAGGUACGAAAGCCAGGGUAGCGAACGGG
rnacentral:rRNA from 1 species